rnacentral:rRNA from 1 species
AAAUUGAAGAGUUUGAUCAUGGCUCAGAUUGAACGCUGGCGGCAGGCCUAACACAUGCAAGUCGAACGGUAGCACAAAGGAGCUUGCUCCUUGGGUGACGAGUGGCGGACGGGUGAGUAAUGUCUGGGAAACUGCCCGAUGGAGGGGGAUAACUACUGGAAACGGUAGCUAAUACCGCAUAACGUCGCAAGACCAAAGAGGGGGACCUUCGGGCCUCUUGCCAUCGGAUGUGCCCAGAUGGGAUUAGCUAGUAGGUG